UUGAGCAAACUCAGGGAGACAGUGAAGGAUGGGGAAGCCUGGUGGGUGCAGUUCAAGAGUCGGAGACGACUGAGUGACUGAUCAACAACAACAAAAGAAAUAAAGGGGACGCCCCUGGGGUUCCGGUGGUGAAGGCUUCGCCUUCCAAUGCAGGGGGUGCAGAUUCAAUCCCGGAUCAGGGAGCUAAGACUCCACAUGCCUCAUGACCAAGAAACCAAAACUUAGCAGCAACAUUGUAACAAAUUCAAUAUAGACUUAAUUGCACAAAAGAAAUAAAGUAAUAUGUGUGUCUUAAGAACCCAGAUUUGUAGGUUGAAUUUGUAGCAAUACUGUCAACUUCCUUUACAGAUAAGGAAACUGAGGCCCAGGGAAGCUGAAUAGUUGAGUUAAAGGCACACACCAGCCAGGGAUUGAUGUGGGAUUGGAAGGUGGACGUUUCUGAUGCCAGAGCCCUAACCUGUGGCUGUAAAACUCCAGACGUGUAAAGGGACCCGAGACAGAAGGCAGGACGCAGGUCAGGAACAAGAGUUGUGGUCUCCAGCUCACCCACCUGGUGUGCGAGGCAGCGGAGGGGCAGGGCAGAAGCGCCGGUGGAGACUACGGCAAAGUCGAAAACUCAGGCUCUGUCCCAAGGGGUCCGGCACCGCAAACGUAGUCAGAAGAAAAAGACAAAGCUGGAAACGCACAUUCCCCAUGUGAAAUCAAAUGGUAAGCCUUCGGUUAUCUUAUUAAAAAUCCAGAGGAGGCCUGGACCUGGGGGCAGGAGGUGUUGCUCCCCCCGCCGCCCUAGGAGCCCCGAGCACCCAGAGACGCUGGGCUUGGGAGCAGAAAAUGGGUCUCACCGGUGCCUGGCCCACUCAGCCCGUGGAGGGAGGGGCUGCCGCUUGGGAGAGACCGCAGACCUGACCGUCGGCCUUCGUCCCCGCCGGCUUGGGUGAAGAGGCAGGGCGGGCCUCCAUCAGAUCAGGGGGCGUCUGGUGGCUGGGCGGGGCCUGUCUGCACCCCGACCCCUCUCAGCGCGCCCAGUGGAGCGGCCGGCCCGGCCCCGCCAACUCGGCCCUGCGGCCGCAGGCCCUGAGUAGGACGAGGACGGGGCUCGCCUCCCGCCCGCCACGGCGGCCCAGACGGUGCCCUGCGGGCGCCCUCAGCUAAUCCGUUUGGAGACGCCAGGAUGACUCGGAGCCCAGGCCACGCGUCACCCCCCGGCCGCGUCCUGCGGCUCACGGCGGGGCAGGUGCCGGGGCACUGCCAGAAGCCGGAACCCUCGCUGUGGGGCGCCCUCGGCAGGCUCUGCUGACGUGUCUUUCCUGGCACAAGUCUGAGAACACGGGUGAGUGUGACCUCCCGGUGUGGGACCCAGAGAAGCAGCUUCUUGAAUCUCAGAGAGCAUUUGUGAAGCAGCUGAGGCAUGAACUUUCCUUGCAGACCCCACUUUCAAGAAAAAAGAAAAACAGAGCUUUCGCCAAGUUACAGGUCCGCGUGGCUCAUGUCCCUCUGUGAUGCCGUGAGUUUACAGCUCUGAUCUUUCUGUGUGUGGGGUGGAGACUCCAGGGAUCAGCUUGUCCUGAGGAGGGGUGGCAGUCUUUAAUUUCUCUAGUCCCGUGGUCUUGCACACAGGUCGGCACAUGGUAAAAGCAAAAUGAAAACGCGUUGAAUCAGUGAUUUUGAGAAGAGAAAUCCCAAACUGUGGUAUGACUCAGUUCUAUCUAAUGAAUGUCUUUCUUGGUUUUUUCGCUCCCAAUAAUUACAGCAAGCGUACAGUGCUUACGCUGGGUCAUACUGCCCUUCACAGAUGAACACGUCUAGCUCUCACACUCCCUUGUGAUAAAAAGCACUGGAGGUGAAAAGAGAUGAAUGACAAAGGCAAUGAGGAGGAGACUGAGCCUUGAACCCAUGGAGGAGCUGGUGUGUUCCACAGUCAGCACCUUGAGUCUCAAAUAAUAAUCAUUCAGAUUCGCAGUCGAUUUGAUUUUCUGACAAUCUACCACCUACAUGCCUUAAGAAAAGGAAACUGAUUUUCUUGUGUAAUAAAUGAGACAGGGCAGAUUCAUCAGCCUCUAUGCUCCUACCGUUAAUGGAUGAUUUAUUUCUACUCCUGCGAUAGUAGAGAGGAGGAGGACCUGCCAGUUAACAGCAUUUUUAUGGUUUUUCUUUUUUUCCUGGCUACAACAGAUAAGUUUCCUGAAACAACAAACUGUUUGAAAAUAGGAAGUGAAGCAGAUGAAGACAUAUUAAGUCUCAACUAUCUUUUCUUGAACUUUCCUUGGUUAACAGCUAUCUAGCUGUAGUUGUACAAAACUGCUUUUUCAAAUUCACAUCCUAGAACACAAAAUUAUACUUAAUUUUGCUCAUCAUUUUAUAUGAAUAAAAUUUGAAAUGAGUUUAAAUUUUGGAAAACAAAUAAUAAAACACUGAUGACAAGUC